AGCGGAGAAAUUCCAAUCGAACCUGGAGAUAGCUGGUUCUCCCCGAAAUAGCUUUAGGGCUAGCCUUAAGUGUAAGAGUCUUGGAGGUAGAGCACUGAUUGGACUAGGGGUCCUCAUCGGAUUACCGAAUUCAGUCAAACUCCGAAUGCCAAUGACUUAUCCUUAGGAGUCAGACUGCGAGUGAUAAGAUCCGUAGUCAAAAGGGAAACAGCCCAGACCGCCAGCUAAGGUCCCAAAGUGUGUAUUAAGUGGAAAAGGAUGUGGAGUUGCUUAGACAACUAGGAUGUUGGCUUAGAAGCAGCCACCAUUUAAAGAGUGCGUAAUAGCUCACUAGUCGAGUGACUCUGCGCCGAAAAUGUACCGGGGCUAAAUACACCACCGAAGCUGCGGAUUGAUACCAAUGGUAUCAGUGGUAGGGGAGCGUUCUAAGGACAGUGAAGUCAGACCGGAAGGACUGGUGGAGUGCUUAGAAGUGAGAAUGCCGGUAUGAGUAGCGAAAGACGGGUGAGAAUCCCGUCCACCGAAUGCCUAAGGUUUCCUGAGGAAGGCUCGUCCGCUCAGGGUUAGUCAGGACCUAAGCCGAGGCCGACAGGCGUAGGCGAUGGACAACAGGUUGAUAUUCCUGUACCACCUCUUUAUCGUUUGAGCAAUGGAGGGACGCAGAAGGAUAGAAGAAGCGUGCGAUUGGUUGUGCACGUCCAAGCAGUUAGGCUGAUAAGUAGGCAAAUCCGCUUAUCGUGAAGGCUGAGCUGUGAUGGGGAAGCUCCUUAUGGAGCGAAGUCUUUGAUUCCCCGCUGCCAAGAAAAGCUUCUAGCGAGAUAAAAGGUGCCUGUACCGCAAACCGACACAGGUAGGCGAGGAGAGAAUCCUAAGGUGUGCGAGAGAACUCUGGUUAAGGAACUCGGCAAAAUGACCCCGUAACUUCGGGAGAAGGGGUGCUUUCUUAACGGAAAGCCGCAGUGAAUAGGCCCAAGCGACUGUUUAGCAAAAACACAGCUCUCUGCGAAGCCGUAAGGCGAAGUAUAGGGGGUGACACCUGCCCGGUGCUGGAAGGUUAAGGAGAGGGGUUAGCGUAAGCGAAGCUCUGAACUGAAGCCCCAGUAAACGGCGGCCGUAACUAUAACGGUCCUAAGGUAGCGAAAUUCCUUGUCGGGUAAGUUCCGACCCGCACGAAAGGUGUAACGAUUUGGGCCUGUCUCAACCAGAGACUCGGUGAAAUUAUAGUACCUGUGAAGAUGCAGGUUACCCGCGACAGGACGGAAAGACCCCGUGGAGCUUUACUGUAGCCUGAUAUUGAAUUUUGGUACAGUUUGUACAGGAUAGGCGGGAGCCUUUGAAACCGGAGCGCUAGCUUCGGUGGAGGCGCUGGUGGGAUACCGCCCUGACUGUAUUGAAAUUCUAACCUACGGGGCUUAUCGACCCGGGAGACAGUGUCAGGUGGGCAGUUUGACUGGGGCGGUCGCCUCCUAAAGUGUAACGGAGGCGCCCAAAGGUUCCCUCAGAAUGGUUGGAAAUCAUUCG
rnacentral:rRNA from 1 species